UUCUACUAUCUAUCGCAAGUCCAUGACUUAGUAGUUUUUUUCCCCUUUUGUGUACAACACACGCCAUUGAUAUUAUUACUAUUAUUAUUAUUCCCAAACUGCCGGUGAUUGCCGCCGCCGCCGCCUCCGAUAUUUUGCCGGCUCGCCGCCUAUGAUUGCUAGUUGCCGCCAGUCUGCGCCGACCACCAGACGAUAGAGUGUGUUGAUUGUAGACAGAAAGUCCGAUAGUAAUGUAGUAUCGUUCACCGCGUUCACUCGUCGCUCGUCUUUGUGGUCGUCAGUCAGUCAAUGCGCGACCGGUGCACCGGCCCUUAAUUGUCUAUAUAUAAAUGUUCGUCUUUUUUUCUUCUGUAGGCCGUUAACGGUUUUUUGAAAAUCGUUUAAAAGCGAUCCGGCGACUACGUUGCAGCUGCCACACAUUAUUAACGCCAUAUUAUUAAUUAUUAAUAACUCAAUAUUCAACGUUAAUAUUAUUAUUGUCAUUUCGUUGCGAUGAUGUCCCGUCACCCGUCGUCCGAACGCCACUCACGGCCGUCGAGUUAUUGACCCAUCAACAUAUGCUAUUGGCUGCCGCUUGCUUGUCAUCGGUUACGAAAUCGGAAAUAGGUCCCCGCGAGCCAUCGACAAUCAAUCAUCCAUCCGCUCCGAAACCGGAUCCGUUAUUGUUCACAUUCGAAGUGAUUAUAUCCCGCAGGAGGUAAAUUAUCAUGGACGCUGGGUUUAAAGAAGAGCGGCCUCCUCAUCCUAGAG